UACGAAGGGUGCAAGCGUUACUCGGAAUUACUGGGCGUAAAGCGUGCGUAGGUGGUUCGUUAAGUCUGUCGUGAAAGCCCCGGGCUCAACCUGGGAAUGGCGAUGGAUACUGGCGGGCUAGAGUGCGGUAGAGGAGAGUGGAAUUCCCGGUGUAGCAGUGAAAUGCGUAGAGAUCGGGAGGAACACCAAUGGCGAAGGCAGCUCGCUGGGACGUGACUGACGCUGAGACGCGAAAGCGUGGGGAGCAAACAGG
rnacentral:rRNA from 1 species